UACGAAGGGGGCUAGCGUUGUUCGGAAUUACUGGGCGUAAAGCGCACGCAGGCGGCUCGAUAAAUUAGAAGUGAAAGCUCCGGGCUUAACCUGGGAAUUGCUUUUAAGACUGUCGGGCUAGAAUCCAGAAGAGGGUAGUGGAAUUCCGAGUGUAGAGGUGAAAUUCGUAGAUAUUCGGAAGAACACCAGUGGCGAAGGCGACUACCUGGUCUGGCAUUGACGCUCAUGUGCGAAAGCGUGGGGAGCAAACAGG
rnacentral:rRNA from 1 species